rnacentral:rRNA from 1 species
GAUGAACGCUGGCGGCGUGCCUAAUACAUGCAAGUCGAGCGAACAGAUGAGGAGCUUGCUCCUCUGACGUUAGCGGCGGACGGGUGAGUAACACGUGGAUAACCUACCUAUAAGACUGGGAUAACUUCGGGAAACCGGAGCUAAUACCGGAUAAUAUAUUGAACCGCAUGGUUCAAUAGUGAAAGACGGUUUUGCUGUCACUUAUAGAUGGAUCCGCGCCGCAUUAGCUAGUUGGUAAGGUAACGGCUUACCAAGGCAACGAUGCGUAGCCGACCUGAGAGGGUGAUCGGCCACACUGGAACUGAGACACGGUCCCGACUCCUACGGGAGGCAGCAGUAGGGAAUCUUCCGCAAUGGGCGAAAGCCUGACGGAGCCACGCCGCGUGAGUGAUGAAGGUCUUCGGAUCGUAAAACUCUGUUAUUAGGGAAGAACAAAUGUGUAAGUAACUAUGCACGUCUUGACGGUAACUAAUCAGAAAGCCACGGCUAACUACGUG